rnacentral:rRNA from 1 species
GUCCACUGAACCUUAUCAUUUAGAGGAAGGAGAAGUCGUAACAAGGUUUCCGUAGGUGAACCUGCGGAAGGAUCAUUGUCGAAACCCGCGAGACAGACCCGCGAACCCGUUCCACGACACUCGCGGGAGGACGAUGCGGGCGCGAUCGAACGGUCGCCCCGGGUCGGAGACCCGCUCCGUCGACGCGCGCGCGAGCGCCCGUCGCACGGCCUAACGAACCCCGGCGCGAAAAGCGUCAAGGAACACUCAAGGCAUCGCUCGCCCCCCGGUGCCCCGUCCGCGGUGCACCUCGGGGACAGGGCGUGCAUCGAAAUCGAAACGACUCUCGGCAACGGAUAUCUCGGCUCUCGCAUCGAUGAAGAACGCAGCAAAAUGCGAUACUUGGUGUGAAUUGCAGAAUCCCGUGAACCAUCGAGUUUUUGAACGCAAGUUGCGCCCGAGGCCAUCGUGCCGAGGGCACGUCUGCCUGGGCGUCACGCACAUCGUCGCCCUCCGCCCCGUCCCGACGCGGGAUCGCGGGCGCCGGGCCGGAAACUGGCCUCCCGUGCGCGUCCGCGCGCGGCCGGCCCAAAUGCGAUUCGGCGUCGACGCGAGUCGCGGCAAUUGGUGGUUGAGGACCUCAACUCGCGCGUUGUCGCGCGCGAUCGCGUCGUUCGGCCGGGAUGCCCCGGACCCCGAAGGUGCCGUGCACCUCGACGGCGACCCCAGGUCAGGUGGGAUCACCCGCUGAGUUUAAGCAUAUCAAUAAGCGGAGGA